CAGGACCCUGCCCUGCUACCAGUCCCCGCCCCAUGACCCUUCCUCUGGCCCCUGGGACCUCAUUCCUUACAAGGGAGAACACAGACAGCCUGGAGCUGUCCUGCCUGAAUCACUCGGAGAGUCUACCCAGCCAGGACCUGCUGCUUGGACCCAGCGAGAGCAAUGACCGCCUGUCGCAGGGGGCAUAUGGGGGCCUCUCAGACCGCCCCUCGGCAUCCAUCUCCCCCAGCUCUGCCUCCAUUGCCGCCUCCCAUUUUGACUCGAUGGAACUGCUUCCCCCAGAGUUGCCCCCCCGCAUCCCCAUUGAAGAGGGACCCCCAGCAGGGACAGUUCAUCCCCUCUCAGCCCCCUACCCUCCCUUGGACACUCCGGAAACAGCCACAGGUACCGGAGGUGUGAGUGUGCACGUCUCCAGGCCUGGGUGCCUACUUUCCUGACCACCUCUCCUGGGAUCCCGAGGGAGCUGGCCCAGGGGAGUUGGGGAUGCAUGCGGGGAGCAGGCGCCUUGAGGGGAAGGCAAGGCUUUUUUCUCCCAGGAUGGGGGAGGCUGCCCUGACACCCCGGUUUCCCUCCCUCUCUCCUUCCUGAAGGGUCCUUCCUGUUCCAGGGGGAGCCAGAGGGUGGUGAGGGGGACCAGCCCCUCUCAGGGUAUCCUUGGUUCCACGGGAUGCUCUCUCGGCUCAAGGCUGCACAGUUGGUGCUGACUGGCGGCACUGGCUCCCACGGUGUCUUCCUGGUGCGCCAGAGUGAGACAAGGCGGGGUGAAUACGUCCUCACCUUCAACUUCCAGG
rnacentral:sRNA from 1 species